CCCCUGCUCCUUGCACACACCGCCCGUCAAACCAUCUGAGUAGGGUCCAAGUGAGGGCACCUCAUCCUGGGGCGUUCAAACUUGGGCUCUGCAAGGAGGGUU
rnacentral:rRNA from 1 species